UGCAGCAGAUUGCUCAGUCAGGUCAGUCUGUGCAUCUGCUUUUACCUCCAAACCAUUCUCACCCAGGCCCUUGGAAAGCUUUUCUGUUCAGGAUGGAGGCCAAAGAAGGGAAAGUCAGCACAAGGGAUGCAGAAGUGACAGCAACAGGAAAUCAAAUGUCCCUGAGCCCCUCUUGGAGGUGCAGACCCAGAGCUGCAGGAGGAAGGACCACCCAGCCACAGCCUCCCACCUCUCCUGGAAUAAACCCCUCACAGGCAGCAAGUGCAGAAGAAGAGAUUUCAAGACUGGGGAUCAGGGACUGAACUUUCAUUUGAGCUGCCACCAAGCUGCUCUCUGCAUGAGGCCUCUAGGGCACAGAUGAGAUCUCACUCUCUUGGCAAGGAAGGACUUUAAUUGUUCUUUCUCCUCUCUGAGGGUCUGUGCUCAUGCCUAACAGCCUCAGGCCUGUUGUUUCCCAGCCCCCCAACUCCCUCCUGCCCAGAGGCUUUCCCUGUGUGCAGUCUCUACCACACCACACUCAGGUUUCAGGAAAUACCUCAGUACACUCCUGAAACAGAUACCAGAGCCAGAUGGAAAUUCAAUAGCCCACUUCCAAGAAAAAAAAUCUUCCAAAGCUGCAAAAUGCUCAGAACAAGUUUCCCAGCUCCAAUCACAAGUGGCUGCUGCCAGAGCCACCUGAGCAGAAAGCAAGUGUGUCAGGAAAUGAAAACACCAAGAGUACAGGCAGUUCCACCUGCAAAUUCCCUCUGCCACCAGACAGACACUGCUGACCCAGCCCAGAUUUCAGAAACAACUGAUCUACACCUACUCUGACCAGGUAUCAGACCUCUCCUCUUCCAUGGCCUCAUGCCCGGGUUCAGCAGGUUUGGAAAAUUCCUGCCUUUGUGUUCCUGUAAGGCUGAGCAGCUCUGACAUUCACCCCAGAGAGCUGUUCCAGCUUUCAGGAAGCUGAGCAGGCCACACAUUUCAGGGAAAUCUCUGUGCAGGCAGCCAAGCCAGCACUUUGCAGAGCCAACACUGCCCAGGGCAGAGCUGUUCCCCUCUCACAACCAGCCUGGGAGCCAGGCAUGGGUUAGGGCUCAGCAGGAACCAGGCAGAUUUUCCUGCAGCUGAGCUCAGGGCUGGAAAAGGUUUUGUUUCCUCACCUGAACACACAGGGAUGGGAUUAAGAGAUCUUGGAGAUAAUGGAAGUGAUACCAGUCAGCAUUUUUGGUGUAUCAAUGUGCCUGGGAGGGGUUCAACCUCUCUGAAAGGCACAAGCAUUCCUCACAGCAGUCAGCACACCUUCUGUAGAGUGCUCAGGUUUGGGCAGGAUGUCAGCAGGCAUCAGCUCUCCAAAGCACAAAAACCCCAGCACACAGGUUAGAAAGUGUACAGGAGACAUGUCAUAUAAUAAACAAACUUUCCCUCAGCUCAAAUGUACAAUAAUUCAGGGCUUCAGAUUUUCAGCCUGCUUCUAGACUACAACAGAGGAGAGACAUCUCCCAAAACUACAGAUUUUGAGAACUUCCUCUGAUUUUUUUUUACAAAUCAGUAAAAUCUUAAUUUACUGUUAAGGCAAGAUGUUUUUUACUUAGUCAGCUGCAGGGCUAAAACCAGCACAGUCCUCAGCCUGUGUCAGUGCUUACAGUGAAAAUCAGCAUCAGCCCUAGAGUUAAACAAGACCUGGCUUGGAGGGAUUUGCACAGCACAAACUUCAUCUUACAAAGGUCCUGCAGUUGUGCUCUGGGACAAAGCCCAUUUUAAAGCACAAGGGAACGUGCCCCAGUGAGAUCCUCCCUGUGCAGCCCCACAGUCAGUGCAGUGCUGGGAAAGGCUGGGCACAAUUUGCUCCUCACCCAGCCUGGUGCCAGCUGACCAGGACUGGAACAGCAGCCUCAUUUAAAUCAGCCCACACUGGAGCCAGCCUUGGCCUCCUGAGACCAGUUUGUCUGAAGCAUGAUUUCAGAUACUGGACCUGAAUUGGGAAUAGCUUUCUUUGCAUCAGGUUUGAUCAGAUUACUCCCUCCUUGGGGGUGAGAAGCAGUGAAGGUGAGCUGAGACAGCAGCCCCAGGACUGCACUGUUUGCCAGCCAGCAGCCCCUGCUGUUUGUGCAGCCAGGGACAGAGGGAGGGAUGAUACAGCAGUCCUGGAGCAGAGAACACUGGGGUUUAAAGCACACUGAAGAAUGAGAAGCAGAUAAGAGGACAACUGCCAAGUAAGAUUAAAUUUUUUCUUUGGCAGGACUCCAGCAGCUGGAGAUGCAGCUCCUGAAGGUACAGGAACAGUUAAAGUAAGUGAUCUGGCAGACUAAGAAAGGAUCAACAGACAGAGAGAGAAAGGCUGUGUCCAAAUUAACUCCUGCUGGGGAAGGCUCAGCUCCAGCUGGUGUGGGAAGCAAGGGGGCAACCACUGAAAGGCACUGGAGAGCCUCAGCAGAAUGACUCCAAUCCCCUCCUUUCCACACAGGUAAAGAGGAAAACCCAUGCAGGGAUUUUCAGUGCCUGUAUCUAGGUGACCUGCUUAUCCUGCAGCUGGGCAAACAUUAGGAGGCAGACAGCAUCACUGUGACUGCGACUCUUAUCACAGCCAGCUUUGCUACAGGCAUCUCCCCUGAGCUGAAGACUGCUUCAACAGAGCCUGCAACACUCCUUGAUUAUUCUUUCCAGCCAUCACUGUGCCUUUUAGUGUCACCAUUUGUCUAGGAGCAAGCAGGCAGACUUUCUCAGCACAGUGCCACAGCUGUCUCCUGCUUCCCACCCCUUUCCCAGCCCACUCCCAGGGCAGCUCCUGCCAUCCAUCAAGCUAAAAACAGAGCUCAAGUUGCACUGAACGUCACUGCAGCUGCGAGAUCCUUCCAAGAGGGAACAGCUCCUCAGAGCCUGGCACUGUGCACGUACAGCUCACCCCACUGCUCACCCAGGGACAGCACAGCCUCCUCCUGCAAACAGCCUCAGCUUCACCCUGGGGAGUCUCACCAUCCACCUCUAAAACUAGGAACAAAGGAACAGGAAGCCUCUUUUAGAUGGCUGUUGGAUACCUCACUCCCUAAGUGCAGCCCUAUGGCACAGCCUGGGGGUAUGGACAGGGAGGACUUUUGGUCAGAGGGUAAAUAACAUGAUGCAUGAAAACAACCAAGAAUGAAGAGAAGAAGGGAAAGCAUGUUGGAAGAACACUUUUCUGUUAGCACAAGGAAAGAGCCUGCCAAGAUGACCCAGUUCCACUCUUUUCCCUCCUCCAAAGGCCACGUAAAAGUCUGGUGCUCCCAAACAUCUCUUGAGGUCAGACUAAUUAUGGUCACCAUAAUUAUUGACCAAAUGAUGGGAGAGCAGUAGGAAUCUGCUUCUACCUGUUGGCACCUUGUUACCGGCAAAACUGAGGAGAGCACGCAUAAAACCAUCUGCAUUUUUACACAGCAGGUGUUCACAGCUACUAAUCCACCUGAAAGAAAUACCAGUCCCUACGGACAGCUGCCUGCAAGUCAGAUCCUUCAAAUGCAAUCUCCAGUGCAGGCAAAUCCAUUAAAUAAAGAACUGUGCAUAGGGGUGAGAGGGUAAUCUAACCAGGGCGCUGAAACAGGGUGAAAUGUCUUCUCUUGCAUAGGGAACAGCGCAAGAAACAGCCCUAGGAAAACAAAUGGAGGAUUAGUAAAUUAAACAAACAAACCAAAGAAAAUUAGCAGUCUGGAAAACAGAAGAAAACCCCCUACAACGACCCAAAAGCAAUUGGCAGAUUUGUGGAAUUGAAAGGUGAGAAGCUGCUUGUUUUCAGGACAGCAGAACAAGCACUGCACCUCGUGCUGCUGUGGUCAGGAGGAAUCACGUUCUGGCUGUGGCAGGUAUUGACUCAGCUGGUCUUUGCAGAGAUGCAGGUGGAGGGCAGGGUGAGAGGCCAGACCCUGAGAAGGACAACUGGGGCACCCUGAUGUAACCCACCCCUUCCAAUGCCUGCAGCACUAGGAAGCAGUUUUCCAAUACAGAGCUCUAAUGGAAAGUACAUUUAACAUCAACAAUCCAGCUCCUGGCAACCAGCCUAGCAUUUAAAUUACAUUUCAUAUGAACAGUAUCCAAAUGAAAAAGAGAACAAGUGGCUUUUAAAUGGCACUGGCUCAGUGUUUCCCUCUUACCAGCUUAUUUGUCAGCUCCAUUUACUGAUUGUAUGAAAGGUAUGUUAAGGAUAAAUUGAAAGAGAUUCCAUUCUUGCUCAGUUUGCUUCCAGGAAAAGCUUCCUCCCUGGUUUGCCCUCCCACUCCACCAGGUAGCUCCAUCAGCCCAGACUAAUAGAUGAGGGGGAACAAGAGCUGCCCCCACCUUCUCUGACAAAAGCUGUUUGAAACUGCUUUCAUUUCCAAAAGGCAGGUCUAGGCAAAAGCAAAAAGCCCAGCUUUGUUCUGUAAAAGGAAAAGCUAAACCCACUCCUCUGUUCAAGCCCAUUUCCUUAAGAGGUGUCCUGGACUCCAGGACACUCACAGUCCUUGGGAAGAGAAGCAUUUCCUCAUGUUUAGCUGAGUGCCUCUAAGGCAUCUCCUGCACAAAACAACUGCUGCUGCUCCUGUGGCUGAGCCACCAGAUCAGGCAGCCCUGUGCAGUGAGCAGUGGCUUGGAUGAACAAGCAUCAACCUUCCUGAGCCAGGUGUUCCCUCCUCCUGGUGUCCUCCAAGCCCUCCAGAGAUCUGAAGGCUGCCCAUGUGUGAAAAUGGAAAGUGCAGAUGAUGUUUGAGGCUGAGGCUGGUGUCUCUACAAACCAUCCCAGCUCCCCAGUCCCACUGUCUGCUCUGCCUUCUUGGCAAAACCAUAAUGGAUGUGCACCAUUCCAGGUGAUUUUGGUUUCAGAAACCAGGAUUUGAUCAGUGCUAAAGGGCUGUCAUGCUGACAGUUCUUGCCUCAGAGGCAAAAACUGAGGAGCUUCACAGUCACAGAUCUCCACAGAGCUCUCACCAAUGCACCCUCACACCCACACAGGACUGCACACCAGGAUUUUCCUUCUUCAGACAAACUUCAAUGGCUCAUCAAUUGUUACCAACACACAAACCUCUUCAGAAAUGCUACCUAUCACUUGCUGCCUGCCCACUGUCUACCUACAUGUUCUGCAUGGCAGAAGGAAAGUAUGAAGCUGCCAUAAUUCCUACAAUAAAGCAUUAGUGGAAAAAACCCAAACCCAAUGCCCUGCUACUGUUACUACAUGAACCGCAACUUUAUGGGGCGGAAAUUGUACAAAUUUUUCAGACAUCUGAUGAAAGGCUUUAGAAAACCUUUAGAUGAAAUAUAAUUUAACACCAGGAACUAACAAUUACAAAGAUGGAAAGCAUCAUUUCACAGCCCCUCAGGUGGUGUCAGCCAUGGUUGCUGUUGCUCACACAGGUGAGACUCUGCCCAGGUACAGCAGUGCCUGGGGCAAAACACACCAAAAAGCAAAGUCCUUUACUGAAAUAAUUUCAGAGAGAAGCACCAAGAUCUUGAUCUCAAGGUUUUGCACCAAGAUCUUGAUUUCAGGUUUUGAAUGCUUUGGCAUGCACUGCUCUUGUUCAAGUCUUUGUAUAAUGUGUUGCCUUAGAUAAUUCUGGAAAUACAUGACUAUAAUUUGCUGUUAAAUGGUGUACUGACUGUUUUAAGGUGCAACAAAUACCAAAACAACAAAAAACUCAAUGAAAACAUCUGAUUGUCAGGUAAAACUAGACCUGCAAAUAACAAUUAAAGCAAGCAGCUUUGUUGGUCUAAGUGAGAACAUGAAGCAGUUUGACUGGCAAGAAAAUUAGUAAGCACAGAUAAUACAUUUGUAUGUUAUUCAGAGAAUACAUUUGUAUGUUAUUCAGAAUUGUAUGUUAUUCAGAGAAUGCAUUUGUAUGUUAUUCAGUUCUGGCAGCAUUCCAGCCAUGGAACAGCAGCAGUCUUUCAGGAAAACUCCCCCAGCUCUGUAACACUGGUGGAUUAAGUGGAAGACACCACCCAGAGCAGGAUGAUUUUCCAGCACCUCAAGCAGAAGCACACACAGCUAUGUUGCUGUGUGCAGACAGAAAUACAGACAUUUUCUACAGCUGAGUUCUCAUUACUCAGAAGGAGAUUUCCAUGCUAGGCUGGAAAAUGGAAUGAAACUGAGAUUUCUCCACCCCC